AAACAUUGUCUCUCUUCUUCCUUUUCUCGAAUAUUCCAAAAAACCCUAAUGUACUUGUUGCUAAAUCAACUCGAUUCAGGAUGUUCACAUGGUAUCAGAGCGUGGAUCUUGAUUGAUCUCACACGCUGAAUCGAGUGAUGGUACCCUCAUUAAAUUUUGAUAAAUACCUUCUUCAUUUUUCUUCAAAUUUUCCUGUAAUUUCCAGUCUAUAUCUUCAAUAUCUCAGCCGAUUUGAGGUUUUCUCUUGGUUUUGAGUCGGCAACUAUGGUUAUCGAAGCUAGGGUUCAAGAAUUAUUCUAAUUCAUUCAAGCUCCACUGUCGAAGUUAGAGUUUUCAAUUCCAG
rnacentral:lncRNA from 1 species